AAGGCAUGAUGAGGGAACUUUCUAAGAAUCUCCUUGAAUUUCUCCCAACUCUCAUAAAUAUAUUUUCCUUCUAACCGAGUAAAAGAAGUAAUAUAAUUUUUUUAUAU